rnacentral:lncRNA from 10 species
CCUAAAACUUAAAGUAUUAAAAAAAAAAAAAAAAAGAAACAGAGCAGAAAGGUGGUUACGAGAGGCUGAGAUUUGUGGGAGGAGGAGGGAUGGGGAAAAGGAGGAUAUGGAUCAUAGUGUAGAAAGUUUCAGUUAGACUGGAAUUCAAAGUUGCUAAGAUAGAUUUUUAACAUUCUCACCACACACAAAAAAGCGAUAAAUUGGUGAGGUGAUGGAUUAGCUUGACUGACUCUUUCCAUAAUGUACACAUAGAUCAAAACAUCACAUUGAAAAUAAAUAAAUAGGCUAGGCAUGGUGGCUCAUGCCUGUAAUCCCAGCACUUUGGGAAGCCAAGGCAGGCAGACUGCUUAAGCUCAGGAGUUUGAGACCAGCCUGUACAAUGUGGCAAAACCCCAUGUCUACCAAAAAAUAAGAAAAUUAGCUGGGCGUGGAGGUGCACACCUGUGGUCCCAGCUACUCUGCAGGCUGAGAAAGGAGGAUUGCUUGAGUCCAGGAGGCAGAGGUUGCAGUGAGCCCAGAUGUGCCACUGCACUCCAGCCUGUGUGACAGAAUGAGACUCCGUCUCAAAAAAAAAAAUGAAUAAAUGAAUAAAUAACAUUACAUUGUCCUCUACAUAUAUGCACACAAUUAUUUGUCAAUUAAAAUUUUUUAAAAACAUUUUUUAAAACAGCACCACCUACUUCCAAAUGAGUGGUCCCUACAGGGGCAAUACCGCCCUGGUGGAAAACUUCUGGCCUAAAUGACCUCUACCAUCCCUUCCAGAGCUGGCUUUCCACUAUCCUAAACUCUGAAGGUUGAUCAUUGAUUGAAAGCUUUGGUGCCAGAGACUGAUCCACUGCUUCUCAAGCCGUCUCACCUUCUUCCUGGUCGUCUAGUGUUGAAGAUGGCACAGUCCCCAUCAAUCCAGGACCCAACCUCAUUCCACUAGUGACUAGACUGCCAGUCAGCAAGAAAUAAGCAUCUGGCACUUUAAGCCACUGGGAUUUCAGGGCUGGGAAGAAAAAUCCAUCAGAGUAAGAGAUGGCAGUGGUUGGAAAAAGUAAAGACAUUCUCUACUUGUACCCUCUGUGGAGUUCAGACUUUCCAUAAAUCAGGCACUGUGUCAAUGAGGAUACCCAGGAGAUGAAUGGAAUCUACUGUCUUUCCCACGCUUGUCAAGGCAUCUCAUCUGAGCAGUUACCAACAUCAGCACAGUGGGGCUGGUCUGCCCCAUCUCCAUCUGACCCGCCCAGCUUGCCCAGUGAUGCAUCACACCGCAAUAGUGGGACAUUUUUUUUCUAACAAUGGUUCUACUCCCCUGGUGUAAAAGCAAAUAAACGGGAAUGGGGUAUAACUUGAUACUAAAUUCUGUGAAAAUAAUCCAUUUGCACUGCACAUAGUUAAUGUGUGGUGCUAACUUGCUACUCUUCAUCCAAGCAGACAGAAGCAGUUGUGCCCUCAUAUAUAGAGGUGCCAGGCAGUCGGGGACAUGAUGAGGAAGUGUUUCUGAAAUCUCUUGUCAAAAGCAUUCAACAGGAAUGCUAAGAAUAAUGGCAAUGAAACACCACCACACCAAGUAAACAAUCGCAUUAACUUCAUUUUGCAGAUGAGGAAAUUGAAGCUCAGUGUGAUUAAAUGACUUACACAAGGGCACGGCUGCUAAGACAUGAAAGAGCUUGGAACUGGACCCAAGUUCUUCCUUCUCUCACAGAAAGAUAUGCUUGCUGAAAGCUCUGCAGAUUUGAAGAUU